CCCAUACAUAAAAAUGUAUUCACGCAUGAAUGUUAGUUGCUUUGGAUAAAAGCGUCUGCUAAAUUUGAAAUAUUAUAUUUCACUAAAACAUUUUUAGGAUGGCCCAACCUCUUUCCUUCUUGGGUGCAUAGACAAUAUUGGACCUGAUCUCAAUUUCCCCCAAAAUGCUGUGCUGCAGGAUGACACACAAUCAUGCGAAAAACGUUGGUAGGGCCUUUCAGGUUUCAGAUUUCCCCAUUUUUUUCUUGUUUACACCAUUUUUUUCACUUUUUUAAUAGAAAAACUAUUUUCUGUCUUCACAACAAUGCUCAAACCAUAUCAGGGUCUGACUUUUGAGGUCUGCGAAUAACCUCGGCAACUUUAUUUUUAAUUGAAGUUGCCAUUUAAAUCAGUGAGACUGCCCUACAUUGUUGUUUCGUUGGCGGGUUUCUGUAGUGCAGUACACGCACGUGAUGUGAUUUGGACUCGGAUGGAAUGGGUGGAGUAACAGUCCAGCAGCAAUCCGUAUUAUUCAGAGCCCUAUGAAAUGACACCAUAUAUACAUUUUACAGACCCUCAUGAGUAUUCCCUACAAUACUUUUACUGCAGCACGCAGAACAGUUCUUGCUCUAAGCCAAUACAGUAUCUAUUCCAUAUACAGUGAUUCGCGAUUAAAAAACAAAAACAAAUGCCACUUAAAUAUGAACAAAUAUAAAUCAUUGUUAAUGUUCAGACAACAAAAUGUCAUAUAUCAUGAAUGGUUAUUGACACUUUUCUACUAUUACAUGAGACAUUUAAAAAUAUAUAUACAAAUAUUUCAUGACACGGAAGUACUUUUUUGUGUUGACGAGAGGCUGAUCAUGUGACGAGUUCGCGAAUCAAAAUUCCCACUUGUGCUGCCACUGGACAGCAAAAAACAAGUUUGAACCAACAUGCAGUACCUCCAGCAGGAAGAGAGGCAAGAACCAUUGGUCCGCCAGUUCAGUGACAAGCUACACUAUUCACAGCCUUUUGUAAUUUUCAAUGUAAUUGCAUUGCUGGACUUUUUGAAACUUUAUGUAUUUGCAUUGUUUUAAAAAUGUACAAAUAAAAGGAAAUGUAUGGAUUAAA